GCCCACGAAUGCAAAGGCGUCGAGCAGCAGGUCCUUCAAAUCUGUCCUAGCGGGUGCGAGUCCCGCCGUGGGUGCCA
rnacentral:tRNA from 1 species